CGGGGUGUGGCGCAGUUUGGCUAGCGCGCGCGGUUUGGGACCGUGAGGUCGAAGGUUCGAGUCCUUUCACCCCGACCA
rnacentral:tRNA from 3 species